GCAGGAACCCUGGUGGAGUUGAGGAGGAGUGCUAUGAGAACGACUUGGUUCAGGUGCUGGAGGAUGAGCUGAAGAUGGGGGAACUACUAAAACACAGACGGGAGCAAGAGAAAACCCAUAUGGUGACUUUGCAGCAAUGACCUUGUUUAACAAGUCUCCUGGUAAGCAAUAUGAAAAGCCACAAAAGUAGAAAAACACUGGAAGAUGGAUGAGAAGAGAAGGCAUAUAGAGAAGGCUGUGAAGAGAUGAUGGUCCACAUGCAUGCAAGACGAGCUAAAAAAGAAGUGACAAGGAGGAAGGAUCAAAGUUAUGACACUGCUAAAUCCAACAAUAGAAUACAUAGUUAUAUUAUGUAAAGAUCUAUUUUUUAAACCAACAGCAUUUUUAAGUGAAUACUGUGAACCGAUAUGGAGGGAUUAUUAAACAAAACAGCUGUCUAUUAUACCACCGGUGCCAUAAAAUCAAAUAACUUUGUUGAGAAUUAUUUGAUUUUUAAUCAUAUUAUUUUUGGGUAUGAGUUGUUGAAGAAUUGUGCAAGUAUAUGCUGUAGUUCAAUUUUCCCUGGGGCCACAUUCGGUCUUCAACGAGGGUCGCACUGAAUUGUUUAAAAUAUUUCCUUGCUGUCUAAAUUUGCAAAAAAUUGUCCUCUAUCCAUCAUUUUGGGAAUUUUCUAUGCUCUCUGACUGUUUAGUGUUUAUUAGCAAGCUGGACUGUCAAGAAACUGUAUGAGUAUAGGUCCAAUAUAAUUUCUACCCAGUUUUGCUUAGAUUUUAGUCCUUUUUUUCAUUUUAAAGUAUAUUUUUACUCAAACCACCCACGGGCCUGAUUGGACACCCUCCGACCUGCGGGCCGUAUGUUUGACACUCCUGCUGUAUUUGUAUUGCUGGUGAGAUUGCUUUUUAAACCAAAUAGUAAACUUGGUAUAUGUGUAAACUGAGGCACAACUGUCUAUAACCCAGAGGGUAGCUACAGUAUGUCUGACGCUAUGACCUGGUUGGCCCAUCAGUCGAAUGAUACUGGUGUUGUAUCGCUUUUGUAUUUGUUGUUUGACCGUUUAGCUUUUUGAUUGACCUAUUGAAAGAGUGGCUUGUCAGAUAGUUUAUUUUAUUUGCCUUAGCUGGUUAGCCUAGCUCACCUUUGGAUGGGGUACAGUCAGACCAUCAAUGCAGCAUGUACUGUAGCUAACAUUGUUCCAGCCACUGAUAAAUUUACUUUCACUGUCAAAAUCACUUUGUUUAUUUCACCCACAAGUAUUGCCUAGUAGUUAAUAGUACUGUAUUACGUAAUACAACUUUGCAGCAGAGGAACAAUGUUAUUUGCCUUCUUCUGCAUGUUGUGUUUGCCACAUUGCAAAUUUUAUUUAAUUCCUGCUGGAGUAUUAAGCCGUUAGGCGAUACUAAGAGAAUGAGACAGUAAAAGACAAAGAAGCUGAACCUAUGAUACAUCUAAUGCUGGAAAGUGAUAUUGUCUACUGAAGGAUUUUGUUAACUAAUAGCUAUACAUUGAUUAAGAGUUAUAGUUGAGUUUAUUUUAUUAAUAGCUGCUUGAGAUUUGAAGAUGUGACGACAUAAAUUAAAUUGGAGUAGGGAGUACAGUACGUAGACAGUACAUAGAAUGGACAGUACAGUACAUACAGUGAGGGAAAAAAGUAUUUGAUCCCCUGCUGAUUUUGUA